rnacentral:rRNA from 1 species
ACAGCAGCAGCCGCGGUAAUACAGAGGAUGCAAGCGUUAUCCGGAAUGAUUGGGCGUAAAGCGUCUGUAGGUGGCUUUUCAAGUCCGCCGUCAAAUCCCAGGGCUCAACCCUGGACAGGCGGUGGAAACUACCAAGCUGGAGUACGGUAGGGGCAGAGGAAAUUUCCGGUGGAGCGAUGAAAUGCGUUGAGAUCGGAAAGAACACCAACAGCGAAAGCACUCUGUUGGGCCGACACUGACACUGAGAGACGAAAGUUAGGGGAGCAAAUGGGAUUAGAUACCCCCGUAGUCCCUGUCUCUUAUAC